AACGAACGCUGGCGGCAGGCUUAACACAUGCAAGUCGAACGAUGUAGCAAUACAUAGUGGCGCACGGGUGAGUAACGCGUGGGAAUGUACCUUAUAGUGGGGAACAACGUUGGGAAACUAACGCUAAUACCGCAUACGCCCUUCGGGGGAAAGAUUUAUCGCUAUAAGAUCAGCCCGCGUGAGAUUAGGUAGUUGGUGGGGUAAUGGCCUACCAAGCCUACGAUCUCUAGCUGGUCUGAGAGGAUGAUCAGCCACACUGGAACUGAGACACGGUCCAGACUCCUACGGGAGGCAGCAGUGGGGAAUAUUGGGCAAUGGAGGCAACUCUGACCCAGCCAUGCCGCGUGAAUGAUGAAGGCCUUAGGGUUGUAAAGUUCUUUCGCCGAUGAAGAUAAUGACGGUAGUCGGAGAAGAAGCCCCGGCUAACUUCGUGCCAGCCGCCGCCGUAA
rnacentral:rRNA from 1 species